ACGGCCGUACCAUGCUGAAUAUACCGGUUCUCGUUAGAUCACCGAAGUUAAGCAUCAUUGGGCGCGGUCAGUACUUGGGUGGGUGACCA